CUACGCACUCCUACGGGAGGCAGCAGUGGGGAAUAUUGCACAAUGGGCGCAAGCCUGAUGCAGCCAUGCCGCGUGUAUGAAGAAGGCCUUCGGGUUGUAAAGUACUUUCAGCAGUGAGGAAGGUGGGUAUGUUAAUAGCAUAUUCAUUUGACGUUAGCUGCAGAAGAAGCACCGGCUAACUCCGUGCCAGCAGCCGCGGUAAUACGGAGGGUGCGAGCGUUAAUCGGAAUUACUGGGCGUAAAGCGCAUGCAGGUGGUUUGUUAAGUCAGAUGUGAAAGCCCGGGGCUCAACCUCGGAAUUGCAUUUAGAAACUGGACAAACUAGAGUACUGUAGAGGGGGUAGAAUUUCAGGUGUAGCGGUGAAAUGCGUAGAGAUCUGAAGGAAUACCGGUGGCGAAGGCGGCCCCCUGGACAGAUACUGACACUCAGAUGCGAAAGCGUGGGGAGCAAACAGGAUUAGAUACCCUGGUAG
rnacentral:rRNA from 1 species